ACUUAUAUAGCUUAUAUUGAAGAGCAUUGCAUUGAAGCUGCAAAGGAGAUAAACAAUAUCUAUAAGUA
rnacentral:tRNA from 1 species